AGUGAAAGCUCAGGGCGCAUGCGCGCAGCCGUAGGUUCCGUUAGCUGUCAGUGUUUUUGCUUCAGUCCAUAAAGAGCUGAAGGAAAGUUUCCACUGAGGCUCUACUUAUCAAAAAAGAGACUUAACUGAGUCAUGGAGACUUAAUCCAUCAGACAUGUCUGUAACGAGCUGUUCACCGACAUUUUACAAACUUCUACCGACGGACACAGACGAGACUCCGACGGUAACAGACUAACGGAUCAGGACCAGGAUCCGGUUUUACUCAGGAGUUCAGUUCUAACUUUCUUAUGUGUCUGUUUGAGGGAUAAGUACGUCAGAGACAGCUUAAAGUAUGGUAGUCUGGGUACAGAUGGGUGUAGCCUAGAACCGGAGUCACACCGGAUCCGAACAGCUGGACGUUGCGAUGGGCAACCCCGGGAUGGAGGACCUGAUCCCGCUGGUGAACCAGCUGCAGGACGCGCUGAGCCACGUGGGGCACACCUGCAGCCUCCACCUGCCCCAGAUAGCUGUGGUGGGGGGGCAGAGCGCAGGGAAGAGUUCCGUGCUGGAGAACUUUGUGGGCAGAGACUUCCUUCCUCGGGGUUCAGGAGUCGUCACUCGCAGGCCGCUGAUCCUCCAGCUUCUCAGUGCUGACGCGGAGUACGGGGAGUUCCUGCACUGUAAGGGGAAGCAGUUCACAGACUUUGAUGAGAUCCGUCAGGAGAUCGAGGCUGAGACUCGCAGACUGACCGGGUCCAACAAAGGGAUCUCACCUGUCCCCAUCAACUUGCGCAUUUACUCCCCUCACGUGCUGAACCUGACUCUGGUGGACCUGCCCGGCAUCACAAAGGUCCCUGUGGGUGACCAGCCGUCUGACAUCGAGUAUCAGAUCAGGGACAUGAUCAUGCAGUUCAUCUGUAAGGAGAACUGUCUCAUCCUGGCUGUGACUCCAGCAAACAUGGACCUCGCAAACUCUGACGCCCUCAAACUGGCCAAAGACGUGGACCCUCAGGGUCUGCGCACCAUCGGAGUGAUCACUAAGCUGGACCUGAUGGAUGCAGGGACGGACGCUCGGCAGAUCCUGGAGAACAGGCUGCUUCCCCUGCGCAGAGGUUACAUCGGCGUGGUGAACCGCAGUCAGAAGGACAUCGACGGGAAGAAAGACGUGGGCGCCGCUCUGCUGGCUGAGCACAAGUUCUUCCUGACGCACCCUGCCUACAGACACAUGGCCGACCGCAUGGGCACACCAUACCUCCAGAGAGUGCUGAACCAGCAACUGACGAAUCACAUCAGAGAGACUCUGCCGGCCGUCCGCGGUCAUCUUCAGGAGCAGCUGCUCGCCCUGAACCGAGAGGCCGAGGAGUACCAACACUUCAGUCCAGACGACCCGGCACGCAGGACCAAGACCCUGCUCCAGUUGGUUCAGCGUCUCUCUGUGGACUUUGAGAAGCUGAUCGAGGGGACAGGAGAUGAAGUGGACACGGUUAAUCUGUCAGCGGGAGCGAAAAUCAACCGGAUCUUCCACGAACGCUUCCCCUAUGAACUGGUCAAGAUGGAGUCGGACGAGAAGAAGCUGCGGAGAGAGAUUAACUACGCCAUCAGAAACAUCCACGGUGUCAGGACGGGUCUGUUCACUCCUAACAUGGCGUUUGAAGCCAUCGUGAAGAAGCAGAUAUUGAGACUGAAGGGGCCGUGCUUUAAGUUCGUUGACAUGGUCGGUCAGGAGCUCACCAAUUCAGUGUAUCAGUGUAUCAACAAGCUCAGCUCGUUUCCCAAACUGCGGGAUGAGACGGAGAAGAUCGUGACCACAGAGAUACGAGAGCAGGAGAGUAAAUGCAGAGACCAGGUGCUGCUGCUCAUCGACAUCCAGCUGGCCUACGUUAACACUAAACAUGAAGACUUCAUCGGCUUCACUAACGCUCAGAGGACAAAUAACCACAACAACCAGAAGAAUGUCACUGGGACUGCAGGAAACCAGGGCGUGACUCCUCUCUCCAGCCUCAUAGUGAUAAGAAAAGGUUGGCUGACCAUCAAUAACCUCGGCAUCAUGAAGGGCGGAGCCAAAGAGUACUGGUUCAUCCUGACAGCAGAGACUCUGUCCUGGUACAAAGACGACGAGGAGAAGGAGAAGAAGUACAUGCUCCCUCUGGACAACCUGAAGCUCAGAGACGUGGAGAAGAGCUUCAUGUCCAGCAAGUUCCUCUUCUCCCUCUUCAACACAGAGCUAAGGAACGUGUAUAAGGACUAUAGGAGUCUGGAUCUGGCCUGCAGCUCUCAGGACGAGCUGGACGGCUGGAAGGCGUCUCUGCUGCAGGCCGGAGUUUACCCCGAGAGAGUCGCUAGAGUCCCCCGCCCCUUCAUCUCGCUCUGUCGUUGGCUCCUCACAGCAGCAUUCCCUGCACAUGAUGUCACUGCAACAUCCGCUCCUCCUCCUCCUCAGAGCAAAGAACAGAUGACAAGAUACAACUUUAACUCCACACACACCUCACACAUCUGUGUGUGUGUGUGUGUGUGUGUGUGUGUGUGUGUGUGUGUGUGUGUGUGUGUGUGUGUGUGUGUGUGUGUGUGUUUGUGUGUGUGUGCCUUAGGUGGACUCGGAGGGUAACGGAUCUCCUGAGAUCCUCUCAGACCCUCAGCUGGAGCGUCAGGUGGAGACAAUCCGCAGCCUGGUGGAGUCCUACAUGAGCAUCAUCUAUAAGACCAUCAAAGACCUGAUGCCGAAGACCAUCAUGCACCUGAUGAUCAACAGUGUGAAGGAGUUCAUCAGCUCGGAGCUCCUGGCUCAGCUGUACGCUCUGGGAGAAGGAGGCGCUCUGAUGGAUGAGUCAGCAGAGCAGCAGCAGCACCGCCAGGAGGUGCUCAGCAAGCACGCCGCCCUGAAGGAGGCGCUGUCUGUCAUCGGACAGAUCUCCACCUCCACCUGCACCACCCCUCUGCCUCCACCUGUGGACUCCUCCUGGAUCCAGCCCUCCAGUGUCACUCCUAAGAAGUCAGCAGCCAGCAACAGACCUGUGGGUCGAGGUCAGGCUCCGUCUGCACCCCGCCUGCCCCCACACAGUGGACCCACUGCUCCCCCUAGCAUGAGCGGCCUUCAGCAGCCCACCAGCCAACCACACCGCCCCCCACCCAGCGUGCCAAGGAGGAAUCCACCGGCCAUCCCAAACGGGAAAUAACAGACCUUCCUGCUCAGAACUCCAUUACCCACGUGCCCCGGCUGCAGCUGACCUGGAUGAUGUGUAAUCCAGAUGCAGCUUGAUGCGCCUCUGAGAGUCUGAAGGAUCUGCAGAUUCUGUUUUCUACAUCAAACCCUCCGCCAUGAGAGCUGGAAUGUACCGAACCGUCUGCUGCCUGAACUGUACAUAAAAUACUGACUUAUAUUACUAUGAGAGAAUACACAUGCACUAUUUUUACUGUUUUUAAUAAACAGGUAUUUUAUUUUUCAA